ACUACUAUAAAGCCAGGCGUCGUCUUUGGUGUUAAAGGCUUCACCAAUUUUUUGAAGUCCCCAAAUUGUCCACCACAUAUACAAAGUUCAGUAAAACAAAAGAUAUCAAAGAGGGUUAUUACUGUAAAAUACCACGAAAAUGUAGGAAAAUAUAAAUACGGAAGCACAAGACUCUUGCGGCAGAGAGAAGAAAUGAAAAAAAAAAAAAAAAAAAAACUUCACGCACAACAUCGAAGAACUACUGUACGCACGAUCUUGGAAUGAACGAAGCAUUUGGAGAUCGUGGGGCGUGAUCGGAGCAGAGAUGGCUUCAACUACCUGAUACAGUUUAUACAAAAGGGAAACACAGCCCGAAUAGAGGAACAGAGGAAAAUAAAAAAUCAAAAUCCUUAUUCGAAAAUUCAGGUAUAAGAUUUUCGAAAAGAUGAUUAUGUAUUGGUCUUUUCAUUUCCGGUUUGGUUUUCUCUGAAUUUUGCAGAUAUCUUGAAGAGAGAUUAAUUCUUUUGUUCCAGAUUGUGUCUUGCAACUUGCAAGGUAUGGUAAUGAAUUUUCAGGUAACGCAAUAGUUGCUAGGGGGAGAGGGAGGGGAGAGAUUGGCUGGCUAUAUGCUAAUUGCAACAAUUUUUAGAAUAUUUAGUUUUUAUGUGAAUGUAAAGUGAUAGGGGCUUAAUUAAGCUUCAAAUUCUGGAAGCUGUAGCCUGUAGAAAUUUUUGUUUUUGUAUUUCCACCUUUUGAUUGUUAAUUAUGUUACCAUAACUGAUAAUUCAUGCUGGGAUGAGUUUAACCAAACCAUGAGUGGUAUCCAAAUUCAGUUUAGUUACAAUUAAUGAGUCAUGCUUAUACUCUAAAUAUCUUUUCAGA